rnacentral:tRNA from 1 species
AAUAGCUCAAUCGGAUAGAGCAACGGCCUUCUAAGCCGUAGGUUGGGGGUUCGAGUCCCUUUU